GCCCGCUCAGAAAACCAAAGGAAUUGACGGGGGCCCGCACAAGCGGUGGAGCAUGUGGUUUAAUUCGAAGCAACGCGAAGAACCUUACCAGGCCUUGACAUGCAGAGAACUUUCCAGAGAUGGAUUGGUGCCUUCGGGAACUCUGACACAGGUGCCGCAUGGUUGUCGUCAGCUCGUGCCGUGAGGUGUCGGGUUAAGUCCCAUAACGAGCGCAACCCUACCUUUAGUUGCCAUCAGGUAAUGCUGGGGACUCUAAAGGAACUGCCUACGCAAGUAGUGAGGAAGGCGGGGAUGACGUCAAAUCAGCACGGCCCUUACGUCCAGGGCUACACACGUGCUACAAUGGCCGAUACAGAGGGCAGCUACCUGGUGACAGGAUGCAAAUCUCCAAAGUCGGUCUCAGUUCGGAUCGGAGUCUGCAACCCGACUCCGUGAAGUUGGAUUCGCUAGUAAUCGCGCAUCAGCCAUGGCGCGGUGAAUACGUUCCCGGGCCUU
rnacentral:rRNA from 1 species